rnacentral:rRNA from 1 species
UGGGGAAUAUUGCACAAUGGGGGAAACCCUGAUGCAGCGACGCCGCGUGAGCGAAGAAGGUUUUCGAAUCGUAAAGCUCUGUCCUAUGAGAAGAUAAUGACGGUAUCAUAGGAGGAAGCCCCGGCUAAAUACGUGCCAGCAGCCGCGGUAAUACGUAUGGGGCGAGCGUUGUCCGGAAUUAUUGGGCGUAAAGGGUACGUAGGCGGUCUAUUAAGUCAGGUGUGAAAGCGUGAGGCUUAACCUCAUUAAGCACUUGAAACUGAUAGACUUGAGUGAAGGAGAGGAAAGUGGAAUUCCUAGUGUAGCGGUGGAAUGCGCAGAUAUUAGGAAGAACACCGGUGGCGAAGGCGGCCUUCUGGGCCAUAACUGACGCUGAGGAGCGAAAGCUAGGGGAGCGAACAGG